AACGUAGGAGACAAACGUUAUCCGGAGUUACUGGGCGUAAAGGGCGUGUAGGUGGUUGUGUAAGUCUGGCGUGAAAUUUUUCGGCUUAACCGGGAAAGGUCGUCGGAUACUGCAGAACUAGAGGACGGUAGAGGCGUGUGGAAUUCCGGGUGUAGUGGUGAAAUGCGUAGAGAUCCGGAGGAACACCAGUGGCGAAGGCGACACGCUGGGCCGUACCUG
rnacentral:rRNA from 1 species